AGAUUCUUCAGAAGAUAUGUAUUUAUCAAAAUUGUCACCCUUGAAAUGUACAUGUUUAGCACCUGGUGUAUAGGACAUUGCUCCGAAGGCUAACCGAUAUUCUUGGAUUCAAGUAAGAUGCCUGGAGACCUUUCCAAGAUAAUGCCCUUAACUUGGGACAGACCCGAGACUGGAACUCAUCAUGUCUCCUAAUUUCUAGAGCAAUUUGGUUUUGGUACAAGUUGGUGAAUGAUGGCAAACAAUCUUUAAAGCCUCAGUGCUUCAUGGGAAGAGAAAAGAGAGAGGUGGCCGCACAGAGGACAAGAGCCUACACUCAGCUUCCUGGAAGUGCCCAAGGAGGCAAGAGGACCCCCCGGUGAAACUGCCCAUGGUAUCCAGGCAGAGGGAGCAAAAGUGCCCCCUUGAAGGUUCCUGGGUCCACAUCUUUGGGGAGCAGCCAAUAAACUCAAUUCCACUAGCUGUAAAUGCCAGAAGACCUCAGAUGUUUCCCCUCUCCCAGGGAGAUUUUUAUUUUCAUGUUAAGGUCUGCCUACUCCCUGAAACACAACAAUACUGAAUUUAGGUCAGUCAAUAACCCUACAAUGGCCUCUAAGUGCUCAAGUGAAAGAAAGGGUCACACGUCUCUCACUUUAAAUCAAAACCUAGAAAUGAUUAAGCUUAGCAAGGAAGCUAGAGGGCCAAGAUAGACCAAAACCGGGUGUCUCACUCCAAACAGUUAGCCAACUUGUGAACGCAAAGGAAAAGCUCUUUGAAGGACAUUAAAAGUACCACUCCAGUGAAUACAUGGAUAAUAAGAAAGAGAAACAGCCUUAUCGCUGAUGUGGAGAAAGUUUGAGUGGUCCAGAUAGAAGACCACACCAGCCACAACAUUUCCUUGAACCAAAGCCUAAUCCAAGGCAAUAUUUUAAUUUUCUUCAAUUCUGUGAAGGCUGAGAGUA